CCGGCGACCGGCGCACGGGUGAGUAACACGUAUCCAACCUGCCGAUAACUCGGGGAUAGCCUUUCGAAAGAAAGAUUAAUAUCCGAUAGCAUAUCAAGAUCGCAUGAUCUUGAUAUUAAAGAAUUUCGGUUAUCGAUGGGGAUGCGUUCCAUUAGUUAGUUGGCGGGGUAACGGCCCACCAAGACGACGAUGGAUAGGGGUUCUGAGAGGAAGGUCCCCCACAUUGGAACUGAGACACGGUCCAAACUCCUACGGGAGGCAGCAG
rnacentral:rRNA from 1 species